ensembl:lncRNA
UCACAGCAUGAACGUGGAAUGCACAACAUAUUGUGUCUUCCACCCACACUGGAUUCCCAGCACUUCAUAAGGGCACACUCUGUCAUGCUGCUGAAAUGGGGAGAUUCCUGGAAGAUAAAUGUGAACCAGCCUUGGGCUUGAGUACAGCAAGAGUACAGAUACUUCAGAUACAGAUACUCUGGUUGUGCCAGGCAGCGUGUCUAGAAUGCGAGCAACUUCAGUCCUCACUGCAGGAUGUUUUCUACCAGACUGGGAUAAAAGUACAAUCUUAUGGUCUUUUCUGGACGAAUGGAUGGUUUUCACCACAGUGUGACAAAAUUACAGUCUUAUGCUCUUUUGCAGAGGGAUGCCCUUUUCUAGAGACAGCUGGGCAUCAAAGGAGAAAUAGAACCUGUCCUAGGAUGGGGCAUUUCCUGAAUUUGGUUAAGAUCAAUUUCAUGCUCUGUUAAAUCCCUUGCCACUUCUGAGAUACAAGGAAAACUGAGGGGAAAAAAAAAAGGGGGGAAAUGUAAGUGCAAUAUAUGAAUUAGCAUUUAUUCUUACACUUUUCCUGGUACCUAUCCAGGAGCAUCUGGUUUAUGCCUUUUCUCUCAUAACUGCAGUCUACAACAUUUCUGUUUAAGGGUCCAGAUUUUGAUUGCUCCUAGUGAUGCAUGUUUCCCUGUGUAUGGCCAAGAUUCACUGAAAAAUGACACUGUAUGGGAGGGCCCAUACAUCUUAUACUUUUAAAUCAUAUUAUAUAAUAUGCGAGUCCCAAAUAUACUGCUCUAUUGCAUGAGAUAAUGUUUCCCUUUACUAUAGAGUAGAUGUGAUCCCAAUAUGAAUGGGGGGAAGAGAGUAGGCACUGCACAGAUAUGUCUAAGGCAUAUAAUACAAGUAAGCAAGAUGUACUGGCUAGUAUUAAUGGGCGAGCUAAUAUACCUUGGCUAGUCACCCCCGCAAAGCCAGAUGUUCCUUAAUAUUUGGUCUCAGUUGAUUCAUAGGCUUCUACUAACUUGCUAGCAUGUCACAGGGAUCUUAAUGUUAAGGAGUCUCCUUUUGAUUGCCCCUCCAACUGGAGGUAUGCAACAGCCGGUGGCAAAUGUGCCUGCGUAGUCCUUUGCCAGUGCCCCUCAGAUUUUCCUGAAGUGUGGCUAGAAGAAUUUCUGAACCACACUCACAGUAGAAAACGACUUCCACUGAAGAAAAUGGCACACAUUUGUGAACUUUGCAAACAUGACACUGACAGAUGGCAUGGCGACACAGAAAAUCAUACAGAGUUUUACUUCUACAUUACGAGAUACCUUCAGCAGGUCAGCUAUUCUUGUACCAGACAUGAUGUAGAGCUGCUUAAAAUAUUAUUGAUGGAAGUGUAUAUAUAUGGUCUGCUUGUUUCUUUGCAGAAUCUUUCUAGUUUCCACAGAGAUAUUCUGAUUGCUUUGAGAGUUUGGGGUAUUAUUUUUUUUCCCCCAAAUUCACCUGGAGGCAGUUGAGCUACCCAAGCUAUUGCUGGUAAGAAGUUACACAGGGAGUUCUUCUGAAACUGAAUUGUCUACUUGGAGAAGUAGCUGUCUACCAAAGGUGGUAAGAUGUUCAUAAGCUGGCUUGUACGCUGUGACAUCUCCUUUGUGUGUGUGUGUAUAUACACACAUAUACAUAUAUAUGAUACAUCUUAGGAACUUUUUCCUCCAGCAGCUGUUUUUGCUGUAAGACACCAUUUACUCUGCAUAUGAGCACCGCAGUCAGAUACAAAGUACAUACAGAAAAAUUAUGUCUAAUAUUGUAUGCAGACAGACUCCUCCCAAAGGACAGUACUGCAGUGCUUUACAUUAAAAACAGCAUGUGACUUGAUGGGAUCGAGCAGUUUCUGAAAGCCCGUUUUCAUAUAAAUAAAUGCAAUAAAAUCUUACAAUGAAAAGAAAAAAUAGAAAUGUGCUUAUGCAUCUCACCUUUUCCUUCCAUAUAUUAUUAGCCUACCUUACAGCUCCUAUUCUGAUUUUGUCUCUUGUACUGCAUAAAAAGAGAAGAAAAGAAAUAAAAAAAAGUGAAAAUAGAG